rnacentral:lncRNA from 1 species
AUAUACUGCUCAGUAACCUAUGAAAUAACUUGCUGAUUUUUAUGUUUAUUUGUGAAGCAAGCUUACCUCUGAUAAAGACAAAACAGUGAAUAGCCAAUAUGGAUAUUUUGAGCCACUUACAGCUCUCUUGCUUCGUGUAAAUAAAUACAUUUACAUUGUGAUUUAAAAGAUAAGGGAACUGAUGAAAAUUAAAGCCUUCAAGAUCAAUAGAAUAACAAAUGGCGUGGUCUAAUGACCCUCACGUCUGAUCAAAUGGUAAAAUCAAAUUUUCAAAAUCCAGUAUUAAGAACCGAGCCCUGUUUUGGAAAUUGAUCUUUGGAGGAAAAAAGGGGAUUCUGAACUGUUAGAACUCAAAUGAGAGAUUCUUAAUGCUAAUAACUGAAGACUCCCUUCCCCCCAAAACUACGCCAAAGGGGAAGGGCAAGAAAUAAUGACGAUCUUGAAGCUUUGCAAAAGCGGAAAUCCUAUUCCUAAGCAGUUCUGAACAGAAUUUAAACCUUGAAUGAUACAAGAAGUGAAUAUAACAACAAAGAAGUGAAGUAAUAUGAACAUUGUCAGAAUGGAAAUAGAAGGCAGUUAUUCUUCGCAUAUUUUUAAGAAUGUCAUGUUUGCACAAACCUUACAAUUCUGUGGAGAAGGUUUGGUUUACUGAUUGUUUUGUACUUUAAAUAGUACCCGAAAUGCUUUUUUACUACAUCAAACCUAUUUUUCAUCCUAAAGAAAGAGUAGCUGCCUUUUUAGGCAUAAUUUAAUCAAUUUUAAAAAUGUUUAAGCGUCAUUUAUUGGGAUGAUCUUUCAAAAUUUAUGGUCUUCCAAAAUUAUUUCGAAUGAGUAAUAUGAUAGUUAAGAAGACGGGUUAUGGAAUCAGAAGGACUAUGUUAUGCACCAGUCCUGCUAAUUGAUACGAACAAUUAAUUUAUGCUCCUGCUGCCUAGGAUUUUUUUAACCUAUUAAAUGGAUAUAAAAUAGUACAAACUCCAUAAAAGUUGUCAUGAGGAUUAAAUGAGAUAUUGUCUAUGAAGUGCUUAGAAUAACUCCUGACACAAUGAACUAAAGAUUUUUGAAUCUUGUGUAAAUGUUUAUUAAUUGUGUAAAAAGUAAUGUAUUUCAGCUACUGGCAGAGCGCACAAAUGCAACGGUGGAUACUGAAUAAAUUCUGUUGAGUGAAUGUUAAGAAAACACCUG